GACGAACGCUGGCGGCGUGCUUAACACAUGCAAGUCGAACGGAAAGGCCCUGCUUUUGUGGGGUGCUCGAGUGGCGAACGGGGGAGUAACACGUGAGUAACCUGCCCUUGACUUUGGGAUAACUUCAGGAAACUGGGGCUAAUACCGGAUAGGAGCUCCUGCUGCAUGGGGGGGGUUGGAAAGUUUCGGCGGUUGGGGAUGGACUCGCGGGUUAUCAGCUGGUUGGUGGGGUAGUGGCUUACCAAGGCUUUGAAGGGUAGCCGGCCUUGGAGGGUGACCGGCCACAUUGGGACUGCGAUACGGCCCAGACUCCUACGGGAGGCAGCAGUGGGGAAUAUUGCACAAUGGGCGGAAGCCUGAUGCAGCAACGCCGCGUGCGGGAUGACGGCCUUCUGGUUGUAAACCGCUUUCGCCUGUGACGAAGCGUGAGUGACGGUAAUGGGUAAAGAAGCACCGGCUAACUACGUG
rnacentral:rRNA from 1 species